UGGAGGCAGCAGUGAGGAAUUGUUCGCAAUGGGCGCAAGCCUGACGACGCAACGCCGCGUGGAGGACGAAGAUCUUCGGGUCGUAAACUCCUUUCGAUCGGGAAGAACGGCUUCCGGGUGAACAAUCCGGGAGAGUGACGGUACCGAGAGAAGAAGCCCCGGCUAACUCCGUGCCAGCAGCCGCGGUAAUACGGGGGGGGCAAGCGUUGUUCGGAAUUACUGGGCGUAAAGGGCCAGUAGGCGGCCAACUAAGUCCGACGUGAAAUCCCCAGGCUUAACCUGGGAACUGCGUCGGAUACUGGAUGGCUUGAAUUCGGGAGAGGGAUGCAGAAUUCCAGGUGUAGCGGUGAAAUGCGUAGAUAUCUGGAGGAAUACCGGUGGCGAAGGCGGCAUCCUGGACCGAGAUUGACGCUGAACGGCGAAAGCUAGGGGAGCAAACGGGAUUAGAUACCCCGGUAGUCCC
rnacentral:rRNA from 1 species